AUUGAACGCUGGCGGCAGGCCUAACACAUGCAAGUCGAAUGGUAACAGGAAACAGCUUGCUGUUUCGCUGACGAGUGGCGGACGGGUGAGUAAUGUCUGGGAAACUGCCUGAUGGAGGGGGAUAACUACUGGAAACGGUAGCUAAUACCGCAUAACGUCGCAAGACCAAAGAGGGGGACCUUCGGGCCUCUUGCCAUCAGAUGUGCCCAGAUGGGAUUAGCUAGUAGGUGGGGUAACGGCUCACCUAGGCGACGAUCCCUAGCUGGUCUGAGAGGAUGACCAGCCACACUGGAACUGAGACACGGUCCAGACUCCCACGGGAGGCAGCAGUGGGGAAUAUUGCACAAUGGGCGCAAGCCUGAUGCAGCCAUGCCGCGUGUAUGAAGAAGGCCUUCGGGUUGUAAAGUACUUUCAGCGGGGAGGAAGGGAGUAAAGUUAAUACCUUUGCUCAUUGACGUUACCCGCAGAAGAAGCACCGGCUAACUCCGUG
rnacentral:rRNA from 1 species